rnacentral:rRNA from 1 species
AGAGUUUGAUCCUGGCUCAGGACGAACGCUGGCGGCGUGCCUAAUACAUGCAAGUCGAGCGGAACUGAAGAGGUGCUUGCACCUUGGAUGUUUAGCGGCGGACGGGUGAGUAAUACGUAGGCAACCUGCCUGCAAGACCGGGAUAACUGCCGGAAACGGCAGCUAAAACCGGAUAGUCCCAAGAGAGGCAUCUUUCUUGG